UAGGGAAUUUUCCACAAUGGACGAAAGUCUGAUGGAGCAACGCCGCGUGCAGGAUGAAGGUUUUCGGAUCGUAAACUGCUUUUAUAUGUGAAGAAUAUGACGGUAACAUAUGAAUAAGGGUCGGCUAACUACGUGCCAGCAGCCGCGGUAAUACGUAGGGUGCGAGCGUUAAUCGGAAUUACUGGGCGUAAAGCGUGCGCAGGCGGCUUUGCAAGACAGAUGUGAAAUCCCCGGGCUCAACCUGGGAACUGCAUUUGUGACUGCAAGGCUAGAGUACGGUAGAGGGGGAUGGAAUUCCGCGUGUAGCAGUGAAAUGCGUAGAUAUGCGGAGGAACACCGAUGGCGAAGGCAAUCCCCUGGACCUGUACUGACGCUCAUGCACGAAAGCGUGGGGAGCAAACAGGAUUAGAUACCCGUGUAGUCCCUGAGCGGGCUGGCAAGGCGCAU
rnacentral:rRNA from 1 species